ACUGAGUUACCGCUCAUCAACCUUUGUGAAUGCAGACCUUAACUGUUGACUCAUCGAAUCUGGUAAGCGCCCCUAAAAUGACGUCUCCCGGCCCGUCUCCCUUCCGCGGGUGGGCAUGCCCUGUCCGAGGUCAUUCAACCUCAAAGCCUCUGAUUACGACUGUUGGGUCUUCUGAGGUGACACAGCAAGAG
rnacentral:misc_RNA from 1 species